rnacentral:tRNA from 1 species
GGGUCCUUAGCUCAGUUGGCUAGAGCGCUUCCUUGACGUGGAAGAGGUCAGAGGUUCGAGUCCCCUAGGACCCACCA